rnacentral:misc_RNA from 1 species
AAGUCGUAACAAGGUUUCCGUAGGUGAACCUGCGGAAGGAUCAUUACCAAAUCCAAAUCUUAACCCCUUGUGAACAUGUUAAUUUGUUUUUGUCAACUAAUGGGAAAGGAGUCGACUCAUUGUUUCUUGCAAUGUGUCUGAUUUUUCUUCUCCUUCUUGGCAAUUACUUACUAAACUACUUUAAAUUAUUUUGUUGGAAUCACUUUUAUUAAUACUAAUAAAAGACAACUUUUAACGGUGGAUCUCUUGGCUCGUG